rnacentral:rRNA from 1 species
UACGUAGGUGGCAAGCGUUGUCCGGAAUUAUUGGGCGUAAAGCGCACGCAGGUGGCUGAGAAAGUCGAUUGUGAAAGCCCUGGGCUUAACCUGGGAAUUGCAGUCGAAACUACUCGGCUAGAGUAUGGGAGAGGACAGUGGAAUUCCCGGUGUAGCGGUGAAAUGCGUAGAUAUCGGGAGGAACAUCAGUGGCGAAGGCGGCUGUCUGGCCCAAUACUGACACUCAGGUGCGACAGCGUGGGGAGCAAACAGGG